AUGGCGACCGGGCGCACGGGUGAGUAACGCGUAUGCAACCUGCCCGAUACCGGGGUAUAGCCCAUGGAAACGUGGAUUAACACCCCAUAGUACUUUUAUCCUGCCUGGGAUGGGAGUUAAAUGUUCAAGGUAUCGGAUGGGCAUGCGUCCUAUUAGUUAGUUGGCGGGGUAACAGCCCACCAAGACGAUGAUAGGUAGGGGUUCUGAGAGGAAGGUCCCCCACAUUGGAACUGAGACACGGUCCAA
rnacentral:rRNA from 1 species